GAUGCCUACGGGGCGCAGCAGUGGGGAAUAUUGCACAAUGGGGGAAACCCUGAUGCAGCGACGCCGCGUGAGGGAGGAAGUAUUUCGGUAUGUAAAGCUCUAUCAGCAGGGAAGAAAAUGACGGUACCUGACUAAGAAGCCCCGGCUAACUACGUGCCAGCAGCCGCGGUAAUACGUAGGGGGCAAGCGUUAUCCGGAUUCACUGGGUGUAAAGGGAGCGUAGACGGCGAGACAAGUCUGGAGUGAAAGGCCGGGGCCCAACCCCGGGACUGCUCUGGAAACUGCCUGGCUGGAGUACGGGGGAG
rnacentral:rRNA from 1 species